ensembl:lncRNA
UCCAGUUCAGCAGUUAUCAUCACUGAGUGUUUGUAAAUCCAUAACAGUCCAAAACAACACUUUCUCCAGUGAAAAUACUCCCCGCUGUCCUGUCACAUCAGUAUCCACCAACAUAUAUGUAUAGAACUCUUUAUCAGAGCAUAUUUCUCUCGAGUCAGACGAGAUAAGGUUUUCACUGGAGAAGGCAAUAUUAUAGAUACAUGACUUUUAUUUUAAGUGGAAUCUGAAGUUAAAAACUAAUUGUUUGUUUCUCACAAACACACAGCUUUUUGCUUCACAAGAUGUUAAUUGAUAGUCUGGAGUCAUGUGUAUUACUUGUGGAUUAUCUGACUCAUUUCAAAGCAUGCAUUUUCGAGUGCAGUAAUAUAAUUAUUGAAUGCAUACUAGUUGUCCAACACAUUACUACAGUAUAACUGCAUGAUCUGACAGCAGCAUGCUACAGCCUUAAAAUAAAUCUCUUUUUUUACAUGUUGUCUAACAAAUCAUUUUGUUAUGCUUUGACUGAGUAUACAGUCCUUAACUGUAAUUCCUUAGACAAAAGCUUAACCUUGCUGACUGUCAAGAUGUCCCCAGAACUUCCAGCAUAUGAACUACAAAGGCUCUACUGUGGAGAAUACUGUGUGCAUAUUUAGCACGGAAAAGCUGUGGAGAAACACCAGUAUUACAGUCGACACUGUGCAUAUGAAACUUAUAGAAUUGGUCUACUUGGCUUGUUUGCACUGUAUAGUUUUGUAUAUAUGAUAUCAGAGAACAAAUCCAAACAGUCGUGAUGAAAUGCCCACUUAUCUUUCUCAUCACAUCAUUUCAUCACAAGAAAUAUGUAUUCAUAAGAUGCCGUUAGUUUUGAACUGUUUAAACUACUUGACGUCUGUGGAAUUUAGAACCCAUCAUAAGUCAAAAACCCGUGGAAAUCCGGAUAUUAUUCAUGUAUGGCAGAUGAAUAGUAGUGACUACAGACAGUUGCAUUUCGUCGGCACAAACCAGAUUCAGUGCCUGGACAACUGUGACAAAUAAAGCAUGUAGGCUAACCAACAGGUAAGAAAAAGGUGUAUAUAUAUGUAUAUGUGGAUAUAUAUGUAUUUAUGUAUGUAUUAUUGAUUUACAUU